rnacentral:rRNA from 1 species
GACGAACGCUGGCGGCGUGCCUAACACAUGCAAGUCGAGCGAGAAUCUUUAAAUUGAUUCCUUCGGGAUGAUUUUUAAAGAGGAAAGCGGCGGACGGGUGAGUAACGCGUGAGUAACCUGCCUUCAGGAGGGGGACAACACUUCGAAAGGGGUGCUAAUACCGCAUAACAUUGUUUUAUCGCAUGGUAUUACAAUCAAAGAUUUAUCGCCUGAAGAUGGACUCGCGUCUGAUUAGAUAGUUGGUGGGGCAACGGCCUACCAAGUCGACGAUCAGUAGCCGAACUUAGAGGUUGAUCGGCCACAUUAGGACUGAGACACAGCCCAGACUCCUACGGGGGGCAGCAGUGGGGGAUAUUGCGCAAUGGGGGCAACCCUGACGCAGCAACGCCGCGUGAAGGAAGAAGGUUUUCGGAUCGUAAACUUCUUUAAGUGGGGAAGAUAGUGACGGUACCCACAGAAUAAGCCACGGCUAACUACGUGCCAGCCGCCGCAGUAAAAC